rnacentral:rRNA from 1 species
GGCAGCAUGGGCUUAGCUUGCUAAGCCCGAUGGCGACCGUUGCACGGGUGAGUAACACGUAUCCAACCUUCCGGUAACUCCGGUAUAGCCUUUCGAAAGAAAGAUUAAUCCCGGAUAGUAUGGUGAUUCCGCAUGGUUUUUCCAUUAAAGGAUUCCGGUUACCGAUGGGGAUGCGUUCCAUUAGGCAGUUGGCGGGGUAACGGCCCACCAAACCUACGAUGGAUAGGGGUUCUGAGAGGAAGGUCCCCCACAUUGGAACUGAGACACGGUCCAAACUCCUACGGGAGGCAGCAGUGAGGAAUAUUGGUCAAUGGGCGGAAGCCUGAACCAGCCAAGUAGCGUGAAGGAUGACUGCCCUAUGGGUUGUAAACUUCUUUUAUAAGGGAAUAAUUGCGGGUACGCGUACCCGUUUGCAUGUACCUUAUGAAUAAGGAUCGGCUAACUCCGUGCCAGCAGCCGCGGUAAUACGGAGGAUCCGAGCGUUAUCCGGAUUUAUUGGGUUUAAAGGGAGCGUAGGCGGGCGCUUAAGUCAGCUGUGAAAGUUUGGGGCUCAACCUUAAAAUUGCAGUUGAUACUGGGUGCCUUGAGUGCAGUAUAGGCAGGCGGAUUUCGUGGUGUAGCGGUGAAAUGCUUAGAUAUCACGAAGAACUCCUAUUGCGAAGGCAGCUUGCUGGAGUGUAACUGACGCUGAUGCUCGAAAGUGUGGGUAUCAAACAGGAUUAGAUACCCUGGUAGUCCACACAGUAAACGAUGAAUA